AACCCGCACAAGCGGUGGAGUAUGUUGUUUAAUUCGAGGAUACACGAAGAACCUUACCAGGUCUUGACAUACCAUUGACAGGUCUAGAGAUAGACUCUCCUUCGGGCAAUGGAUACAGGUGGUGCAUGGUUGUCGUCAGCUCGUGCCGUGAGGUGUUGGGUUAAGUCCCGCAACGAGCGCAACCCUCAUUGUUAGUUACUACCAUUCAGUUGAGGACUCUAAUGAGACUGCCAACGACAAGUUGGAGGAAGGUGGGGAUGACGUCAAAUCAUCAUGCCCUUUAUGACCUGGGCUACAAACGUACUACAAUGGCCAAUACAAAGAGAUGCGAAGCGGUGACGUGGAGCGAACCUCAGAAAGUUGGUCUCAGUUCAGAUUGAAGUCUGCAACUCGACUUCAUGAAGGCGGAAUCGCUAGUAAUCGCGGGUCAGCAGACCGCGGUGAAUACGUUCCCGGGUUUU
rnacentral:rRNA from 1 species